UGUAACGGCACCUGGCAUAUUACCGAGAGCCACCCUUAGGAGAUUGUCAGCAGGACCUUUUUGGAAAUGCAAGCCUAUGUCCUUGCCAAAAGACAGAGGGCGACCUCCAUGAACCCAGAUUAAGGAAGAAGGGAGCAGAGGGCGCCGGGAACCACGAGUAACGGGGUUCGAUUGCGGAGAGGGAGCCUGAGAAACGGCUACUAAAUGUAAGGAAGGCAGCAGGCACGCAAAUGACUCCCUCCCGACGUGGGAAGGUAGUGACGACA